CCUCAUCUCGUUGCAGUUUUCAUCGCUGCUUGCGUCUCUGUGACUCUCCCUUUUGCCAUGUUUGCCACUCCAUAUUUGGAUAGUGUUUUCCUCCGAGUAUGCUCUGUAGAUUUGGAAGAUUGUUUCUAGUCUCAAGUCUGGGCUCUGGUUUCUCAUGGGUUGGCUUCCGUUCUCCCUCACUCAGGUUGUUUUUUUCUUCCCUUCCUUCCCUUAGUAAAAGUGUGUGGUAUUAGUCUCUUGGAGCUUUGGUCCCUUCUAUCCAUAGUUUUGUGGUUCUUCACUGGCAUAGGCGUCUUGUUUGUG
rnacentral:lncRNA from 1 species